rfam:Spirochaetes bacterium GWF1_51_8 gwf1_scaffold_1294, whole genome shotgun sequence.
GGGCGAUUAGCUCAGACGGUUUAGAGCACCACGCUCACAUCGUGGGGGUCACUGGUUCGAUUCCAGCAUCGCCCA